AAGUCGUAACAAGGUUUCCGUAGGUGAACCUGCGGAAGGAUCAUUAGUGAUUGCCAUCUUGGCUUAAACUAUAUCCAUCUACACCUGUGAACCGUUUGAUUGAAUCUUCUGAUUCAAUUUUACAAACAUUGUGUAAUGAACGUCAUUAGAUCAUAACAAAAAAAAACUUUUAACAACGGAUCCCUUGGCUCUCGCAUCGAUGAAGAACGCAGCGAAAUGCGAUAAGUAAUGUGAAUUGCAGAAUUCAGUGAAUCAUCGAAUCUUUGAACGCAACUUGCGCUCUCUGGUAUUCCGGAGAGCAUGCCUGUUUGAGUGUCAUGAAAUCUCAACCAUUAGGGUUUCUUAAUGGCUUGGAUUUGGAGGUUGCCAUUCUAAAUGGCUCCUCUUAAAGGAGUUAGCAAGUUUUACUAUUGCUAUCUGGCGUAAUAAGUUUCGCUGGAAUGGUAUUGUGAAGCGUGCUUCUAAUCGUCUUCGGACAAUUACUUUGACUCUGGCCUCAAAUCAGGUAGGACUACCCGCUGAACUUAAGCAUAUCAAUAAGCGGAGGAAAAGAAACUAACAAGGAUUCCCUUAGUAACGGCGAGUGAACCGGGAAGAGCUCAAAUUUGUAAUCUGGCUGUCUUCGAUAGUCCGAGUUGUAAUCUAUAGAAGCGUUUUCCGUGCUGAACUGUGUAUAAGUCCCUUGGAACAGGGUAUCAAAGAGGGUGACAAUCCCGUACUUUACACAAUCAUCAGUGCUCUGUGAUACGUUCUCUACGAGUCGAGUUGUUUGGGAAUGCAGCUCAAAAUGGGUGGUAAAUUCCAUCUAAAGCUAAAUAUUGGCGAGAGACCGAUAGCGAACAAGUACCGUGAGGGAAAGAUGAAAAGCACUUUGGAAAGAGAGUUAAACAGUACGUGAAAUUGUUAAAAGGGAAACGAUUGAAGUCAGUCGUGUUUAUUGGAUUCAGCCGGUCUUCGGUGUACUUCCUUUAAACGGGUCAACAUCAGUUUUGUUCGGUGGAUAAAGGUAUUAGGAAUGUGGCUUCUUCGGAAGUGUUAUAGCCUAGUAUUGCAUACACUGGAGGAGACUGAGGACUGCAGCUCGCCUUUAUGGCCGGGGUUCGCCCACGUUCGAGCUUAGGAUGUUGACAUAAUGGCUUUAAACGACC
rnacentral:rRNA from 1 species